rnacentral:rRNA from 1 species
AUUGAACGCUGGCGGAAUGCUUUACACAUGCAAGUCGAGCGGCAGCACGGGGGUAACCCUGGUGGCGAGCGGCGAACGGGUGAGUAAUACAUCGGAAAAUGCCCAGUCGUGGGGGAUAACACUUCGAAAGAAGUGCUAAUACCGCAUACGUCCUGCGUGAGAAAGCGGGGGAUCGCAAGACCUCGCGCGAUUGGAGUGGCCGAUGUCAGAUUAGCUAGUUGGUGGGGUAAAGGCGUACCACGGCGACGAUCUGUGGCUGGUCUGAGAGGAUGAACAGCGACUCUGGGAGUGAGACACGGCCCAGACUCUUACGGGAGGCAGAGGUGGGGAAUGUUGGCCGAAGGGGGGAACCCUGCACCAGGGAUGCCGGGUGAGUGAAGCAGGGCUUCGGGUUGUAUGACUGUUUUGGCAGGGACGAAAGGGUGCGCUCAAGCAUAGGUUGCUAAUGACGGUACCUGAUGAAGAAGCACCGGCUAACUACGUG